UAGGGAAUCUUCCACAAUGGGCGAAAGCCUGAUGGAGCAACGCCGCGUGUGUGAUGAAGGGUUUCGGCUCGUAAAACACUGUUGUAAGAGAAGAAUGACAUUGAGAGUAACUGUUCAAUGUGUGACGGUAUCUUACCAGAAAGGAACGGCUAAAUACGUGCCAAA
rnacentral:rRNA from 1 species